AAGUCGUAACAAGGUUUCCGUAGGUGAACCUGCGGAAGGAUCAUUAGUGAAUUGAAUAUGUUAGCGGACCUCUUCGGAGUCCCUAGCAUCAAAUCAUAUCCAUAACACCUGUGAACUGUAAGGCUGUCUUGAGAACGAAAGUGAUUAGAGCGCCUGCCCAUUUUAUACAAACAUUAAAGUAACAAACGUAGUCUUAUUGUAAUCUAAUAAAA
rnacentral:misc_RNA from 1 species